UUUGGAGGGCAAGUCUGGUGCCAGCAGCCGCGGUAAUUCCAGCUCCAAUAGCGUAUAUUAAAGUUGUUGCAGUUAAAAAGCUCGUAGUUGAAUUUCGGAAUCUGUCCGUUGGUCGGGCUUAAYUGUCCGUACUGAUGUGAUGGGUUCUUACCUUCUGAAUAACCAUCAUGCCAUUAAUUUGGUGUGUUGGGGAAGCAGGACUAUUACCUUGAAAAAAUUAGAGUGCUCAAAGCAGGCUAGCGCCUGAAUACAUUAGCAUGGAAUAAUAAAAUAGGACGGCAUGGUUCUAUUUUGUUGGUUUCUAGGAUCACCGUAAUGAUUAAUAGGGAUAGUUGGGGGCAUUAGUAUUCAAUUGUCAGAGGUGAAAUUCUUGGAUUUAUUGAAGACUAACUUCUGCGAAAGCAUUUGCCAAGGAUGUUUUCAUUAAUCAAGAACGAAAGUUAGGGGAUCGAAGACGAUCAGAUACCGUCGUAGUCUUAACCAUAAACUAUGCCGACUAGGGAUCGGACGAUGUUAAUUUUAUAAUGACUCG
rnacentral:rRNA from 1 species